GAUGAACGCUGGCGGCGUGCCUAAUACAUGCAAGUCGAACGAACGGACGAGAAGCUUGCUUCUCUGAUGUUAGCGGCGGACGGGUGAGUAACACGUGGAUAACCUACCUAUAAGACUGGGAUAACUUCGGGAAACCGGAGCUAAUACCGGAUAAUAUUUUGAACCGCAUGGUUCAAAAGUGAAAGACGGUCUUGCUGUCACUUAUAGAUGGAUCCGCGCUGCAUUAGCUAGUUGGUAAGGUAACGGCUUACCAAGGCAACGAUGCAUAGCCGACCUGAGAGGGUGAUCGGCCACACUGGAACUGAGACACGGUCCAGACUCCUACGGGAGGCAGCAGUAGGGAAUCUUCCGCAAUGGGCGAAAGCCUGACGGAGCGACGCCGCGUGAGUGAUGAAGGUCUUCGGAUCGUAAAACUCUGUUAUUAGGGAAGAACAUAUGUGUAAGUAACUGUGCACAGCUUGACGGUACCUAAUCAGAAAGCCACGGCUAACUACGUG
rnacentral:rRNA from 1 species